rnacentral:rRNA from 1 species
CCUACGGGGGGCAGCAGUGAGGAAUAUUGGUCAAUGGCCGUAAGGCUGAACCAGCCAAGUCGCGUGAAGGAAGAAGGAUCUAUGGUUUGUAAACUUCUUUUAUAGGGGAAUAAAGGUAUCCACGUGUGGAUAUUUGCAUGUACCCUAUGAAUAAGCAUCGGCUAACUCCGUGCCAGCAGCCGCGGUAAUACGGAGGAUGCGAGCGUUAUCCGGAUUUAUUGGGUUUAAAGGGUGCGUAGGUGGUUGUUUAAGUCAGCGGUGAAAGUUUGUGGCUCAACCAUAAAAUUGCCGUUGAUACUGGAAGACUUGAGUGUGUUUGAGGUAGGCGGAAUGUGUGGUGUAGCGGUGAAAUGCAUAGAUAUCACGCAGAACUCCGAUUGCGAAGGCAGCUUACUAAGCCAUAACUGACACUGAAGCACGAAAGCGUGGGGAGCAAACAGGAUUAGAUACCCCAGUAGUC